rnacentral:rRNA from 1 species
CGUGAGGGAAAGGUGAAAAGAACCCCGGGAGGGGAGUGAAAGAGAACCUGAAACCGUAUGUCUACAAGCAGUCGGAGCGAAAGCGACGGCGUGCCUAUUGAAGAAUGAACCAACGAGUUACGUGCACUAGCGAGGUUAAGUGGAAGACACGGAGCCGAAGCGAAAGCGAGUCUUAAGAGGGCGACUAGUUAGUGUACGUAGACCCGAAACCGCAGUGAUCUACCCAUGUCCAGGUUGAAGCGCAGGUAAAAUUGCGUGGAGGACCGAACCUGUGAGCGUUGAAAAGCUUUAGGAUGAGAUGUGGGUAGAGGUGAAAUUCCAAUCGAACGCGGAGAUAGCUGGUUCUCCCCGAAAUAGCUUUAGGGCUAGCCUCAAGUAGUAAGUAUAGGCGGUAGAGCACUGAUCGGGCUAGGGGCCAUAAAGGUUACCGAACCCUGUCAAACUCCGAAUGGUUAUACUGUAGAGCUUGGGAGUCAGACUACGAGUGAUAAGAUCCGUGGUCAAAAGGGAAACAGCCCAGACCACCAGCUAAGGUCCCCAAUGUCGUACUAAGUGGAAAAGGAUGUGGGGUCUCUAAAACAACCAGGAUGUUGGCUUAGAAGCAGCCACCAUUUAAAGAGUGCGUAAUAGCUCACUGGUCGAGAGACCCUGCGCCGAAGAUUACCGGGGCUAAAGUACGAAACCGAAGCUGUGGCUACGACAUAUGUCGUGGGGUAGGGGAGCGUUCUGUGAGGGCUGAAGUCGUUCUGUAAGGAACGGUGGACUUCACAGAAGUGAGAAUGUUGGUAUGAGUAGCGAAAAGAAUGGUGAGAAUCCAUUCCACCGAAAGCAUAAGGAUUCCUGGGCAACGAUCGUCGUCCCAGGGUAAGUCGGGACCUAAUCCGAGGCAUGGAGCGUAGGAGAUGGACAACUGGCAGAUAUUCCAGUACCGGUAAUGAUUGUUUGAGCGAUGGAGUGACACAGGAGGGCAGGCAGGCAGGAGAUUGGUUGUUCCUGUACAAGCGUGUAGGAUGGGACGCAGGCAAAUCCGCGUCCUGUGAGUCUGAGGCGUGAUGUGGAGGUUCCGGAAACGGAACUGAAGCUGCUGACCCCACACUGUCGAGAAAAGCUUCUAGUUAGAGAAUUACCGCCCGUACCGUAAACCGACACAGGUAUGCGGGGAGAGAAUCCUAAGGUGCGCGGGAGAACCCUCGUUAAGGAACUCGGCAAAAUGUACCCGUAACUUCGGGAUAAGGGUAGCCGCUGUUGUGAAGUCUGAACAGAUGGAGCAUGAGGCGGUCGCAGAGAAGAGGCCCAAGCGACUGUUUACCACAAACACAGGUGCCUGCUAAAGAGAAAUCUGACGUAUAGGUGCUGACACCUGCCCAGUGCCGGAAGGUUAAGGAAGGAUGUCCGGAGCAAUCCAAAGCAUUCGACCGAAGCCCCGGUGAACGGCGGCCGUAACUAUAACGGUCCUAAGGUAGCGAAAUUCCUUGUCGGGU